CCUACGGGGGGCAGCAGUGGGGAAUAUUGCACAAUGGGGGAAACCCUGAUGCAGCGACGCCGCGUGAGUGAAGAAGUAUUUCGGUAUGUAAAGCUCUAUCAGCAGGGAAGAAAAUGACGGUACCUGAUUAAGAAGCCCCGGCUAACUACGUGCCAGCAGCCGCGGUAAUACGUAGGGGGCAAGCGUUAUCCGGAUUUACUGGGUGUAAAGGGGGCGUAGACGGGAGCACAAGUCUGGAGUGAAAUGCCGGGGCUUAACCCCGGAACUGCUUUGGAAACUGUGCAGCUAGAGUGCAGGAGAGGUGAGUGGAAUGCCUAGUGUAGCGGUGAAAUGCGUAGAUAUUAGGAGGAACACCAGUGGCGAAGGCGGCUUACUGGACUGUAACUGACGUUGAGGCUCGAAAGCGUGGGGAGCAAACAGGAUUAGAUACCCCAGUAGUC
rnacentral:rRNA from 1 species